AGGGCGAUGAGUUCAUCAGGAGAGGGAUGCUGACAAAACACACAGGAUUCUAACCGUGCCUUUGCCCGUACGUUUGUAAUACUGAUCUAGGCAGCUUGUUGUUUGAGGCCACAGAUAUUCAGUGCUGUUCACGAGUGGUGCCUGCUCUGGGCGUUAUCCCACGCUUUCAGGCCUGUCUGUAGGAUGCCACUCAAUGUGAGGCAGCUUCAUCUGUGAGGUGUUCUGUGGAGAUCUGAGACCAGCGUGGAAGGAUGCAAGAAAAUGACCCAGUCAAACCUCAAGGUGACAGAUGUUGAGAAUUGUGUGAACGCGUGAGUAACACAAGAACGCGAGGAAGGCUUCCUGAGCAUCGCUCGCCUUUCCCCUGGGUAUAAGCAGCUCAAGAGAUCUUUGCUUCAAUUAAAACUGUGUUUUCCACUGAAAUUCCUAAUAACCACAGAUUCUUCCUUCCCUGUGCAAGCAGCAAAAGUUUGAUGGAAGGGCACAUGAGUUGCUGAUAUUGGUGACCCAAGUCAGUAGCCACAGGACUCAGCAGUCACAAGAAAGGAAGGAAGAGGUGAUGAUUUCCAGGAAAGUAAAUGACCAGCUCUACCUGGUAAUGCUUCUAAAAGCUGCACUUGUUCUGCUGCAGGAUCUGGUCGAGGCCAAUUGGCAGAGGAGAACAGUGUCAUCUGGCAGAAGUCUUUCUGUGCCCCUCUGGAACUGCAGUUAUGCUCCCAAGAAGUGCCAGUAGGCCUCGCCGGUCAAAACAUGAUGGAUUUGGAAAAGUCUGCCAACGUCACCUUUGAACCAAAAGUGUUUGAAGUGCCUCCGGAGCCAAGCCUAAGAUAUUCUGAAUAUAGAGUAUUCUACGAUGCGUACAGCAUUUGCUUGAGGAUUAUCUGCUAAAGAACCAAGCACAGAACAGCAUGAACCACAGGGGAUUGUUGCCAUCAGGCCAGCUGUGAGGGUUCAAGAAAUUACCCUCCACCUCAUUUAAGGUCAGGGCCAACCUGCUGCCCUCAGGACGUACAUAUCUUGUGGAGAAAAUGAGAUGAAGGUAAUUGAUCCAUAAUUCUCAUGGAUCUUCAUGGACUUGGUGAUGUUGGUGGGUCCCUUUCAGCUGAAACUCUUCUGCCCUUGAAGCCAUGGGAGAACCAUGGGUAGUGUGACCAAAAGUUACGUGAAAAUCUGGCUAGAGAUUCAGAUGCUCUUUUGAAUAUGCAGGCAUUUCCUACACCAGGACUGUCUUUUUGUUAUCCUGCCUCUCAUUGUUCCGCGAACACAUCAUAAAUACAAGGAAUCCAAUGAGCUUAUGAG
rnacentral:lncRNA from 7 species